GGCAUGUGGCUCAGUGGGAGAGCACUUGCCUUGUCUCCAUGAGACCCUGGGUUUGAUUUCCAGUACCA
rnacentral:tRNA from 1 species